AGAGAGGAAGGAGAAAGAGUGAGAGAUUCUACAGCAACAGUGAAAGAGAGAAGAGGUGCACGAGAAGAGGAGGGCAAUGUCUGUGAGGAGAGGCAGACGCCAGAAGCUCAGGGCAGGUGGAGAGCCAUGUUCCACACCUGCCAGGCCACGGGAUCCCGAACGAAAAAAAAAAAAGCAGCGGCGAUUGCUUUCUCAUUAAGGGAGGGAGGGCGACUAGCGACUAACGACUGACGACGGCGUUAGGCAUGCGGGGAAAAAGGAAAACAUUCAUCAAGCAAGUGCCACGCCAAUAUCAAACGUAUGCUAUUAUCGUUAACGAAUAUGAAUGACAGCCAAGGCCCAGCUUGCAUCGUCCAUUAUCAUGUGGUCAGUGGGUUUGGACAAUCCCCAAUAGGAAUGAUCCCGGAGGAACGAGACAGACCUGAGAGCAGGGUGCAUCUUGGAUACAAAUAGAUAUGGAGGGAAACGACAUCAAGUUCAACUCCCACAAAUCAAUGCCAUCUAGACAAGGAAGAGCCUGAUGAGAAUAAGGAACCAAAUAGAAAUUGUUGCUCAAACUUUCACAUUUUGGUUUGGAUACAGAAGAAUUUUGGGACAUUGGACAAGUUUUUCUGUGUUAUUUGAGGCGAUGUUACUGGAAUCUUGGAAAUUUUAUGUUGGAUAUGACCAAAAGACCAGCAGAGGAUUGUACCAAUGUAUCAAGAACGAGGGUGCAAAAAGAAGGCCUCAAGUGAAACCAGAAGUAGCAAAGCACCGUCGGUUAACUAUCCAUCAACGCUAAGAUAAAAUGUGUUCAUAUUCAAUGUGUCUCCAAUAUAAUCCCUGGUUUUAUCAGAAAAUACAACCUACCUCCAAAUCUCUGUGUAAUAUGUAAUAGCAUUGUAUUACUCUUUUUUUUUUUUCUUUUUUCAGUGUUGUUCAAAUUCAUCUUAAUGUAUUAGGCACACAAAUGUAAUGGCAUUACCUAAGGGCAGAUAGUCAAUGUUUUGCAUUUAAUGGACUAAAUGCUUACUGGUGGUCUAAUCUGUUUGCGAAACAUCUUCACUUUAUUUUUAAGUUCCAAUUAAUUUGUAAUAAAUAAAGUCGUUUGUGAACAUGCAAACAUCUCAAGAAAAUAGUAAUGUGGUGCUGAGCAUUAAUUGAAAAACAUAAACCUAUAUUGAUACGUA